UCCUUACAGAUCGUCUCUAUUUCGCCACCCUUCAGGAUAAGAAGCGGCCGAAAAUUUCAGUGACUCAUCAUUAUUUCAGCAUCGAUGAGGAACUCGUUUACGAGAGUUUUUAUGCCGACUUUGGUCCUUUAAAUCUUGCGAUGCUAUAUCGUUAUUAUUGUAAAGUCAACAAGAAAUUGAAGUCACGGACAUUGGCGAAGAAAAAGAUCGUUCAUUACACAUCAACUAGCGGAGAGAAAAGAGUCAAUGCUGCUUUCCUCAUUGGUGCGUACAUGGUAAGUUGAUCCAGUUACGAAAUUCAGCCAAUUUCCUGUAAGACCUCUCCACACUUUAUUAGCCCAAAUCGCGUUAGCCCAGAAGGGCUAUUAAUUUCGUUUUGG